UGGGGAAUCUUGCGCAAUGGGCGAAAGCCUGACGCAGCGACGCCGCGUGAGUGAUGAAGGCCUUCGGGUUGUAAAGCUCUGUGGGGAGAGACGAAUAAGUAGAAGCUAAUACCUUCUAUGAUGACGGUAUCUACUUAGCAAGCACCGGCUAACUCUGUGCCAGCAGCCGCGGUAAGACGAAGGGGGCAAGCGUUGUUCGGAAUUACUGGGCGUAAAGGGCGCGUAGGCGGCUCUGUAAGUCAGGUGUGAAAGCCCUGGGCUCAACCUGGGAGUGGCACUUGAUACUGUGGGGCUAGAGAGUGGGAGAGGUUGGUGGAAUUCCCAGUGUAGAGGUGAAAUUCGUAGAUAUUGGGAAGAACACCGGUGGCGAAGGCGGCCAACUGGACCAUUUCUGACGCUGAGGCGCGAAAGCGUGGGGAGCAAA
rnacentral:rRNA from 1 species